AGGAUAAACGCUGGCGGCGUGCCUAACACAUGCAAGUCGAACGCGCUUUCGGGCUUCGGUGCGAGAGCGAGUGGCGGACGGGUGAGUAACACAUGGGUACCUGCCUUUCAGUGAGGGAUACCGGCGAGAAAUCGCCGACAAUACCGCAUGGGCUUGUGGGAACACAAGCAAAGUGGCGCAAGCCACGCUGGAAGAUGGGCCUGUGGCCGAUUAGCUAGUUGGGGGGGUAACGCCUCCCAAGGCGACGAUCGGUAGCUGGUCUGAGAGGACGAUCAGCCACACUGGGAUUGAGAACGGCCCAGACUCCUACGGGGGGCAGCAGUGAGGAAUUUUCCGCAAUGGACGAAAGUCUGACGGAGCAACGCCGCGUGCAGGAGGAAGGUUUUCGGAUCGUAAACUGCUUUUCGCGGGGUACGAGCAAGGACGGUACCCGAGGAACGAAGCCCCGGCUAACGUACGUGCCAGCAGCCGC
rnacentral:rRNA from 1 species